UACGAAGGGUGCAAGCGUUACUCGGAAUUACUGGGCGUAAAGCGUGCGUAGGUGGUGAGUUAAGUCUGUCGUGAAAGCCCCGGGCUCAACCUGGGAAUGGCGAUGGAUACUGGCUCGCUAGAGUGCGGUAGAGGAGAGUGGAAUUCCCGGUGUAGCAGUGAAAUGCGUAGAGAUCGGGAGGAACAUCAGUCGCGAAGGCGGCUCUCUGGACCAGCACUGACACUGAGGCACGAAAGCGUGGGGAGCAAACAGG
rnacentral:rRNA from 1 species